rnacentral:rRNA from 1 species
CCUACGGGUGGCAGCAGUGGGGAAUAUUGGACAAUGGGGGGAACCCUGAUCCAGCGACGCCGCGUGAGUGAAGAAGUAUUUCGGUAUGUAAACCUCUAUCAGCAGGGAAGAAAAUGACGGUACCUGACUAAGAAGCUCCGGCAAAAUACGUGCCAGCAGCCGCGGUAAUAGGUAGGGGGCAAGCGUUAUCCGGAUUUACUGGGUUUAAAGCGUGCGUAGGCGGAAUAUCAAGUCAGCGGUAAAAAUUCGGGGCUCAACCCCGUCGUGCCGUUGAAACUGAUGUUCUUGAGUGGGCGAGAAGUAGGCGGAAUGCGUGGUGUAGCGGUGAAAUGCAUAGAUAGCACGCAGAACGCCGAUUGCGAAGGCAGCAUACCGGCGCCCAACUGACGCUGAAGCACGAAAGCGUGGGUAUCGAACAGGAUUAGAUACACUUGUAGUC